AUGGAUCCGCCUUCGUUCGACAUGUCGAUGAAGGAGGCAGAGAGAUCAUUCCGGCAAUUCAUCACCGACGUGCGCGCCAUGCUUCGAGACCCGGCUCGGCCGUUCGUGGUGCAGGACGGCGCCGGCCGGCUGCCAGCCCAGGAGGACAUUCCGACCAGGUUUUUGGAUCUUGUGCUGCGCACGGAUGAGCACGCCAUCACCUUGAGGUUGCGGAUGGACAACCUAUAUGUCGUGGGCUUCCGCAACGGCGUGGUCGAGGACCCCGCGACGACGUGGUUCGAGUUCCGGCUUGAGGACGGCCGCCAACGCGUGAUAACUGACUCUACGCUUCUCGGAUUCGGCGGGAAUUACCAGGGCGCCGGCCUAGGCACACUAGAUGAGAACGUCCAAGUUGGGCGAGACGUGGUCGUGAGCGCCAUCAAUACGCUGGCCACUCACGGCAACAACGGAUCCACGAUUGACGACGCGAGUUUGAAGGUCUUUCUGCGCACACUCAUCAUCCACUUCAUCGAGACCCUUCGAUUGAACGGCGUCGUCGAGCGUGUCGCCGGUUUGAUGGCCCACCCCGAAGAUCCAGCGCCGCCGUCCACAAGCCAUGAAAAUAACCUGCUCGGGCCAGUAGCUUAUCAUCUGAUUCAAAACUGGUCGCGCAUCUCCACCGACUUGCUGCUCGCCGCCAACGACAGCCAGCAACCUACGGUUACGGACGCCUUGGCUCGCCGCUUCCAAAGUUUGGCCGCUGCCGGCAUACACAACUACUUGGAAGCGGCGCAGGCGCUCGGGUUGGUGCUGCUCAAAACCCACGGGGCCAGGCGCCAGAGACGCUCCCUGGAGGACAACCCCGACCAUGUCGUCGCCGGCCUCACGCUCGUGGAGGUCAUCGAGGUGAUCGUUCGAAGAAUCGACGACGAGAGCCCCGGCGACCUCUACGGCUCCAUCACCGUGGAUGACGGCGUCGGCUCGGAGCAAGUCUUCUCCCGGGACCGGAACGACAUCCAGUCGGUUAGCCCCGGCGAGCAGGCCCAGCUCACCGGUCCGGCUCGGGCUAUCUCAGGCUACGACGACUUCGCCCUCAACUUUAACCUCAUGGACCGGGACUCGGACUUGUCGCCGGACGACCACGUCAGCAACGGGGCGUUGCUGUGGAACUCCCGCAUGGCCACCAACGAGGAGUACGACGCCAUCCACAGCAGGAUCAUCCAUGGUGUGGACGGCCACGUGGAGCUCCGCUUCGUGGCGAUGACCGACGCGGCGGUGGCCAAGGUGGAGGUCGUCGUCCUCGACAGCAGCGAAGACGCGCUCGACGUCUACGGCACCGUCACUGCCACCACGAGCCUGGAGGACGGCACGCAGGUGGCCAUCAAGCUCUUUGACGUGACCCCCGAGCACAGCGUCGCCGUCGGGAGAGGCUCGGCCGUUCCGCUUCACAGGAAGGUCGUGGCGGUGCCCCUGUGCUCUUCCUUGCAGCUCGGCUUCAGCCUGCAGGACUGGAACCACUUAUCUGCCAAUGAACAGAUCGCCGAUGGCACCGUGACGUUCGAGACUGCACGGCUCACCGGAGAGGAUCGUGGAGAGGUGGGCGGCAACAAUGGCCGCAACCGCAUCUCGGUGCAGCUCACCUGGUCCACCUGGUUCGACUAA
rnacentral:rRNA from 1 species